rnacentral:rRNA from 1 species
GACGAACGCUGGCGGCGUGCUUAACACAUGCAAGUCGUACGGUAAGGCCCUUUCGGGGGUACACGAGUGGCGCACGGGUGAGUAACACGUGAGUAACCUGCCCACAACUUUGGGAUAACGCUAGGAAACUGGUGCUAAUACUGGAUAUGUGCUCCUGCUGCAUGGUGGGGGUUGGAAAGCUCCGGCGGUUGUGGAUGGACUCGCGGCCUAUCAGCUUGUUGGUGGGGUAGUGGCCUACCAAGGCGGCGACGGGUAGCCGGCCUGAGAGGGUGACCGGCCACAUUGGGACUGAGAUACGGCCCAGACUCCUACGGGAGGCAGCAGGGGGGAAUAUUGCACAAUGGGCGCAAGCCUGAUGCAGCAACGCCGCGUGCGGGAUGACGGCCUUCGGGUUGUAAACCGCUUUCAGCAGGGACGAAGCUUUUUGUGACGGUACCUGCAGAAGAAGCACCGGCUAACUACGUG